GGUCGGGUAGCUCAGUUGGGAGAGCGCCGGUCUGAAAAACCGGAGGUCGCCGGAUCGUUCCCGGCCCCGACCACCA
rnacentral:tRNA from 1 species